UACAGAGGUCCCAAGCGUUGUUCGGAUUCACUGGGCGUAAAGGGUGCGUAGGCGGUCGGGUAAGUCUGAUGUGAAAUCUCACAGCUUAACUGUGAAACUGCAUUGGAUACUAUUCGGCUAGAGAGUUGGAGGGGGGACUGGAAUUCUUGGUGUAGCAGUGAAAUGCGUAGAUAUCAAGAGGAACACCAGUGGCGAAGGCGAGUCCCUGGACAACUUCUGACGCUGAGGCACGAAAGCUAGGGGAGCAAACAGG
rnacentral:rRNA from 1 species